CUACGGGAGGCAGCAGUGGGGAAUCUUGCGCAAUGGGCGGAAGCCUGACGCAGCAAUGCCGCGUGAAUGAAGAAGGCCUUCGGGUUGUAAAGUUCUUUUAGUAGGGAAGAAAAAAAUGACGGUACCUACAGAAAAAGCCACGGCUAAUCACGUGCCAGCAGCCGCGGUAAUACGUGAGUGGCAAGCGUUAUCCGGAAUUACUGGGCGUAAAGGGCGUGUAGGUGGUGAUGUAAGUCAUAGGUAAAAACACUCAGCUUAACUGAGAUGGAGCCUAUGAAACUGCAUUACUAGAGUAUAGGAUAGGAAGAUGGAAUUAUUACUGUAGCGGUGGAAUGCGUAGAUAGUAAUAGGAAGGCCAACGACGAAGGUAAUCUUCUGGACUAAUACUGACACUGAGGCGCGAAAGCUAGGGGAGCAAACAGGAUUAGAUACCCUGGUAGUCCUAGCCGUAAACGAUGGAUACUAGGUGUAGGAGAUAGCAUCUUCUGUGCCGAAGCAAACGCAUUAAGUAUCCCGCCUGGGGAGUACGAUCGCAAGGUUGAAACUCAAAUGAAUUGACGG
rnacentral:rRNA from 1 species